rnacentral:lncRNA from 1 species
UAAGGAACUACACAUGAUGCUGACGCUGACCUCUGCUCUCCUCAUAUACAAAACACAACCCAACACACAAUGACAAAAAACAUGUCUGAAGGAAGGGAAGAAAGCGGAAGAGAGGAAGAAAGGAGGACUCUGCCCACCUCAAAUCAAUUCAAAAGGAGAAGCUGGAUGUGGUCAGAGUCCAGACAAGACACACCCAGUAGCUCGAGGGCUAGCUAGCCUGGACUACUCUCUGGAUCUGGAACUGCAGAAACCAGAACAAUCUUACUGAAUCAAGGUGGAAGGCGAUGGCACUGUUUUGGAACUGUCAGGGGAAGCCCCACAGAAGGAAGAGAGUUACUAGAAGCACAUCUUGAAGGUUGGUGGCCUGGCCCCACUACCUGUCUACUCUCUGUUCUCUGAUUGGUG